GCCAGGCAUGGUGGCUCAUGCCUGUAAUCCCAACACUUUGGGAGGCUGAGGCAGGUGGGUCACCUGAGGUCAGGAGUUCGAGACCAGCCUGACCAACAUGGUGAAACCCCGUCUCUA
rnacentral:SRP_RNA from 1 species